rnacentral:rRNA from 1 species
AUUGAACGCUGGCGGCAUGCUUUACACAUGCAAGUCGAACGGUAACAGGCCGCAAGGUGCUGACGAGUGGCGAACGGGCGAGUAAUGCAUCGGGACGCGCCCAGUCGUGGGGGAUAACGCAGCGAAAGCUGCGCUAAUAUCGCAUACGAUCUCUGGAUGAAAGCGGGGGACCGACAGGCCUCGAGCGAUUGGAGCGGCCGAUGUCAGAUUAGGUAGUUGGUGGGGUAAAGGCCCACCAAGCCAACGAUCUGUAGCUGGUCUGAGAGGACGACCAGCCACACUGGGACUGAGACACGGCCCAGACUCCUACGGGAGGCAGCAGUGGGGAAUUUUGGACAAUGGGCGCAAGCCUGAUCCAGCAAUGCCGCGUGCAGGAAGAAGGCCUUCGGGUUGUAAACUGCUUUUGUACGGAACGAAACGGUUCGGGUUAAUACCCUGGGCUAAUGACGGUACCGUAAGAAUAAGCACCGGCUAACUACGUGCCAGCAGCCGCCGUAAAAC